rnacentral:hammerhead_ribozyme from 1 species
ACACUGCAGAGGAGUCCCACAAUAGGACGAAAAGACAGUCCAGUGU